rnacentral:rRNA from 1 species
GUUUCGGCGGCCAUGGCGAAGGGGAAACGCCCGGUCCCAUCCCGAACCCGGAAGCUAAGCCCUUCUGCGCCGAUGGUACUGCGCGGGUGACUGCGUGGGAGAGUAGGACGCCGCCGAACAUC